GGGGCGCUCUGGGCUGGCGGCAGAAGCGGCAGCGGCUGGGUAGGGCAGGGCAGGGUAACGCGGCCGGAGCGAGGGCGGGAGCCGGGCCGGAGCCGGAGUCGGAGCCGGGGCAGGAGUCACCGUCGCGGCUGGAGCGGAGUGAGCGGCGUGUUGAGAGGCGAGCGGCGGCCGAGGAAACAUUGUACCGUUGGUGAAGCCAGCUCAGGAGGCGGCGCGCCCCCCUCUGGAGGACGAGGUUUGUCUACGGAUUUUGAGCAUCUGAAGCUGCCCUGCGAAUCUAAGCACCGCCCGCUGCGCCCUCGCCCUUUGAAGCGAUGUCUGUGGCUUACGAUGAUUCCGUUGGAGUAGAGGUGUCCAGUGACAGCUUCUGGGAGGUCGGGAACUACAAGAGGACCGUCAAGCGGAUCGAUGACGGCCACCGCCUGUGCAGCGACCUCAUGAACUGCCUGCACGAGCGGGCGCGCAUCGAGAAGGCGUACGCGCAGCAGCUCACCGAGUGGGCCCGGCGCUGGAGGCAGCUUGUGGACAAGGGGCCUCAGUACGGGACGGUGGAGAAGGCCUGGGUGGCCGUCAUGUCCGAGGCGGAGAAGGUGAGCGAGCUGCACCUGGAGGUGAAGGCCUCGCUGAUGAACGAGGAUUUCGAGAAGAUCAAGAACUGGCAGAAGGAGGCCUUUCACAAGCAGAUGAUGGGAGGCUUUAAGGAGACCAAAGAAGCCGAAGAUGGCUUUCGGAAGGCGCAGAAGCCCUGGGCCAAGAAGCUGAAAGAGGUAGAAGCAGCCAAGAAAGCCUACCACGCAGCGUGCAAAGAGGAGAAGCUGGCAAUAUCUCGAGAAACCAAUAGCAAAGCGGAUCCAUCCCUCAACCCCGAACAGCUGAAGAAAUUGCAAGACAAAGUAGAAAAAUGCAAGCAAGACGUCCUUAAGACCAAAGAGAAGUACGAGAAGUCUCUGAAGGAGCUGAGCCAGGGCACACCGCAGUACAUGGAGAGCAUGGAGCAGGUGUUUGAGCAGUGCCAGCAGUUCGAGGAGAAGCGCCUGCACUUCUUCCGGGAAGUCCUGCUGGAGGUUCAGAAGCACCUAGACCUGUCAAAUGUGGCCGCCUACAAAAACAUUUACCAUGACCUGGAGCAGAGCAUCAAAGCUGCCGACGCGGUGGAGGACCUGAGGUGGUUCAGAGCCAACCAUGGGCCAGGCAUGUCCAUGAACUGGCCGCAGUUCGAGGAGUGGUCCGCAGACCUUAACCGAACUCUCAGCCGGAGAGAGAAGAAGAAGACCGCCGAUGGUGUCACGCUGACCGGCAUCAACCAGACGGGCGACCAGGCUCUGCAGAACAAGCCCAGCAGUGUGAGCAGCUACGAGAAGACCCAGAGCUACCCCACGGACUGGUCAGACGAUGAGUCCAACAACCCGUUCUCCUCCACCGACGCCAAUGGGGACUCAAAUCCGUUUGACGAGGACGCCACCUCGGGGACAGAAGUGCGGGUCCGGGCCCUUUACGACUACGAAGGGCAGGAGCACGAUGAGCUGAGCUUCAAGGCCGGGGACGAGCUGACCAAGAUAGAGGACGAGGAUGAGCAGGGCUGGUGCAAGGGGCGCUUGGACAACGGGCAGGUUGGCCUGUACCCAGCGAAUUACGUCGAGGCCAUCCCGUGACAGGCCAGUGGGCUGGCUGGCAGAGGGAUGGAGGCGGAGGUCCCAGGAGCUCUGUUAGCCAUAGGCCCCGGGCAGCGGCGCCUCCGGCCAGCCGUGGGGGCAUCCACUCCUUUUCCUGCAAAAGAUGAUGGUUCCAUUGCUCUUGGCUCCAUAGUGUCUCUUGAAGGCAGACGAGCGGGUCCUUUCAGCUGGGACUCGGUGCAGAUGGAGAGAUCUGAGCACAGGAAGAAAGACAGCACAGCAGACAUGGCUGGGCCCCUCCCUGCCCCCGCUCCCCCGCGCCGUGUGCUGGCUUAUCAUGGAUCUGUAUGUUCUUGGCCUUGUCCUUCCACCUCUCUUCCCAGCCAGCGGCGGGCUACACUGAUUCUGGUUCCACCAGUUACUUUCUCUGACAAGUCCCAUCACCUGCAACUUAAAUGAACAAACUUACAUGCCGUUUUCUGAAUGAAGACUUGGAGGUUUUUAAUUUAAAGGCUGUGUACAGUUAUAGUUUUUUAUGUACCUGUUCUUCCAUUCAUUUAUCCUUAAAUUAUGGCACAGAUCGAUGUACACGAGUCUUGAGGAAACAGCUCUAUUUCCAUGCUGUACUGUCAACCAGCCGUGCCACUGCCUGGGGCGAGCUGCAAGAGCUGGGAGCUCGCUCGGACAGACGAUGUUUAGGCCAGAGAGUGCACGGGAAGGCCGGAACACAUGGCUGGGUUUCUGUUGCGAUGCUCUCCGCAUGUGGGGGGUCCAAAUGGCAUUUCCGGAAGUAACUUACGUAGUGCUCGCUAAAGUCGCCGUAUUUAAAAACUAUUUUCACUCUUACUUGUGCUUAAUACUUUACUCUUACAAAUUAACGAUUUCAUCAGUGAUUUGAAAGGUUAAAAAUAAAAAAUAAGAAGACUAACUUUGCAAGCAAAUGCAUCUGUAGUUGAGAUGCUUUGUACCAGGCUCUCGUGUCUUGGUGUAUAUCUGUACAUGUUAUUUGAUAUUCAGAGAAUCUAAAGAGCUCGUCUACUGUGUUAAUGAGAUUUAACAGCUUUUGACAGUGGGUUUAAUUUGUAAACUGCUUGAAGACCGUGCGUUCAGGCCCAGGCGCUCGGGCUCCAGGCCUCGGAAGCGGAGCCCGCUGUGGGGAGACCUGUCCUCACUGCCCAGCUGCGGGCCAGCUUCCAAUAACCGCCUUAGUCCUCUCCGCGGCGAACACUGUACAAGCUCCUGAGUCCUUGCAGCAGCUGCAGAUCUCAUAGUCGCCCGUAUCCCUCUCGAGCAGACAAAAGCUGGGUCUCACCCCCCAGCACAAGGGUCUCCUCCAAGUGUCCGCAGCCAUCAGGGAGCAGGAAGCUACACUGUAAUCACAGGCCAGGGAGGGAGGGGAAAAUCUUUAUUUUGUGCUACUUGGACAUUGAGAAAUGGCUGCCGCCAUCACAAGCUAUGCAUUUUGUUCAGUGUUUCCAGGGAGCUUGAUGUCUUACUUGGAAAGUGGAUGUGUGUGUGUCUGUCAUGAAAACUUACCAGCAGAAAUCCUCAUUCCUUUGCUACAGAUUUACCAAAAAAUUGUCAAGUCUUUGCAGUGUAGGAGUUUCUUUAAAAUGUAGAGUAUUUUAGAAAAAAACGUCAAUAAACAGUUGAUCUCA
rnacentral:lncRNA from 1 species